rnacentral:rRNA from 1 species
CGGGAAGAUAAUGACGGUACCGCAAGAAUAAGCCCCGGCUAACUUCGUGCCAGCAGCCGCGGUAAUACGAAGGGGGCUAGCGUUGCUCGGAAUCACUGGGCGUAAAGGGUGCGUAGGCGGGUCUUUAAGUCAGGGGUGAAAUCCUGGAGCUCAACUCCAGAACUGCCUUUGAUACUGAGGAUCUUGAGUUCGGGAGAGGUGAGUGGAACUGCGAGUGUAGAGGUGAAAUUCGUAGAUAUUCGCAAGAACACCAGUGGCGAAGGCGGCUCACUGGCCCGAUACUGACGCUGAGGCACGAAAGCGUGGGGAGCAAACAGGAUUAGAUACCCUGGUAGUCCACGCCGU